rnacentral:rRNA from 1 species
GACGAACGCUGGCGGCGUGCUUAACACAUGCAAGUCGAACGGAAAGGCCCUGCUUUUGUGGGGUGCUCGAGUGGCGAACGGGUGAGUAACACGUGAGUAACCUGCCCUUGACUUUGGGAUAACUUCAGGAAACUGGGGCUAAUACCGGAUAGGAGCUCCUGCUGCAUGGUGGGGGUUGGAAAGUUUCGGCGGUUGGGGAUGGACUCGCGGCUUAUCAGCUUGUUGGUGGGGUAGUGGCUUACCAAGGCUUUGACGGGUAGCCGGCCUGAGAGGGUGACCGGCCACAUUGGGACUGAGAUACGGCCCAGACGCCUACGGGAGGCAGCAGUGGGGAAUAUUGCACAAUGGGCGGAAGCCUGAUGCAGCAACGUCGCGUGCGGGAUGACGGCCUUCGGGUUGUAAACCGCUUUCGCCUGUGACGAAGCGUGAGUGACGGUAAUGGGUAAAGAAGCACCGGCUAACUACGUG